AAACUACACAGACAAGACAAAAUACUGUGUUCACUGAAACUGGUAGCCUAAGCUUCGUAGUGCAUUCAAAGUUACUGUAAAAUACCCUUUUC